rnacentral:rRNA from 1 species
AUUGAACGCUGGCGGCAGGCCUAACACAUGCAAGUCGAGCGGUAGCACAGAGAGCUUGCUCUCGGGUGACGAGCGGCGGACGGGUGAGUAAUGUCUGGGAAACUGCCCGAUGGAGGGGGAUAACUACUGGAAACGGUAGCUAAUACCGCAUAACGUCGCAAGACCAAAGAGGGGGACCUUCGGGCCUCUUGCCAUCGGAUGUGCCCAGAUGGGAUUAGCUAGUAGGUGGGGUAACGGCUCACCUAGGCGACGAUCCCUAGCUGGUCUGAGAGGAUGACCAGCCACACUGGAACUGAGACACGGUCCAGACUCCUACGGGAGGCAGCAGUGGGGAAUAUUGCACAAUGGGCGCAAGCCUGAUGCAGCCAUGCCGCGUGUAUGAAGAAGGCCCUCGGGUUGUAAAGUACUUUCAGCGGGGAGGAAGGGAGUAAAGUUAAUACCUUUGCUCAUUGACGUUACCCGCAGAAGAAGCACCGGCUAACUCCGUGCCAGCAGCCGCAGUAA